GCCUUCGUGGUGUACUGGUCAGUACGCUCCGUGCAUAUUCGAGAGGUCCGUGGUUCGAGUCCCGGCGAGGGCA
rnacentral:tRNA from 1 species